AUAUCAUGGUGAAGACAUUGCCUUAACAGCUCCUUGGAUCUUUCUCAAGCAUCAAAUAAAUAAUCAUCGUUUUCUUGUCUAAAUGAAGUAAUCGCAUUCCUCAUCUU